rnacentral:rRNA from 1 species
CAGUAGCCACGGGAAUACGUAGGUGGCAAGCGUUGUCCGGAAUUAUUGGGCGUAAAGGGCUCGCAGGCGGUUUCUUAAGUCUGAUGUGAAAGCCCCCGGCUCAACCGGGGAGGGUCAUUGGAAACUGGGAAACUUGAGUGCAGAGGAGGAGAGUGGAAUUCCACGUGUAGCGGUGAAAUGCGUAGAGAUGUGGAGGAACACCAGUGGCGAAGGCGACUCUCUGGUUUGUAACUGACGCUGAGGAGCGAAAGCGUGGGGAGCGAACAGGAUUAGAUGCCCCCGUAGUCCCUGUCUCUUAUAC